GGCGACCGGCGCACGGGUGAGUAACGCGUAUGCAACCUGCCCGAUACCGGGGUAUACCCCAUGGAAACAUGUAUUAACACCCCAUAGUACUUUUAUCCUGCAUGGGAUGUGAGUUAAAUGUUCAAGGUAUCGGAUGGGCAUGCGUCCUAUUAGUUAGUUGGCGGGGUAACAGCCCACCAAGACGAUGAUAGGUAGGGGUUCUGACAGGAAGGUCCCCCACAUUGGAACUGAUACACGGUCCACACUCCUACUGCAGGCACCACUGAGGAAUAUUGGUCAAUGGACGUAAGUCUGAAGCAGCCUAGUCGCGUGAGGGAAUACUGUCCUAUGGGUUGUAAACCUCUUUUAUAACGAAACAAUAUGAUCUACGUGUAGAAUGAUGCCUGUACCAUAUGAAUAAGAAUCAGCUAACUCCGUGCCUUGACCCGCGGAAAUACGGACGAUGCGAGCGUUAUCCGGAUUUAUUGAGUUUAAAGGGUGCGUAGGGCGGUUUAUUAAGUUAGUGGUUAAAUAUUUGAGCUAAACUCAAUUGUGCCAUUAAUACUGGUAAACUGGAGUACAGACGAGGUAGGCGGAAUAAGUUAAGUAGCGGUGAAAUGCAUAGAUAUAACUUAGAACUCCGAUAGCGAAGGCAGCUUACCAGACUGUAACUGACGCUGAUGCACGAGAGCGUGGGUAGCGAACAGGAUUAGAUACCCUGGUAGUCCACGCCGUAAACGAUGCUCACUGGUUCUGUGCGAUAUAUUGUACGGGAUUAAGCGAAAGUAUUAAGUGAGCCACCUGGGGAGUACGUCGGCAACGAUGAAACUCAAAGGAAUUGACGGGGGCCCGCACAAGCGGAGGAACAUGUGGUUUAAUUCGAUGAUACGCGAGGAACCUUACCUGGGUUUAAAUGGGAAAUGCCGUAUUUGGAAACAGAUAUUCUCUUCGGAGCGUUUUUCAAGGUGCUGCAUGGUUGCCGUCAGCUCGUGCCGUGAGGUGUCGGGUUAAGUCCCAUAACGAGCGCAACCCUUACCGUUAGUUGCUAGCAUGUAAUGAUGAGCACUCUAACGGGACUGCCACCGUAAGGUGAGAGGAAGGCGGGGAUGACGUCAAAUCAGCACGGCCCUUACACCCAGGGCUACACACGUGUUACAAUGGCCGGUACAGAGGGCCGCUACCAGGUGACUGGAUGCCAAUCUCAAAAGCCGGUCGUAGUUCGGAUUGGAGUCUGUAACCCGACUCCAUGAAGUUGGAUUCGCUAGUAAUCGCGCAUCAGCCAUGGCGCGGUGAAUACGUUCCCGGGCCUUGUACACACCGCCCGUCAAGCCAUGGAAGCCGGGGGUGCCUGAAGUCCGUAACCGCGAGGAUCGGCCUAGGG
rnacentral:rRNA from 1 species